rnacentral:tRNA from 1 species
GGGGGUAUGCCCGAGCGGCCAAAGGGGACAGACUGUAAAUCUGUUGGCGAAAGCCUUCGCAGGUUCGAAUCCUGCUGCCCCCA